GGGGUUCAUUGAUGCCCUGACCAGAGGGGGUCCAGGGGGCACGCCUCGACCCAUAGAGAUGCACUCCCACGACCCUAUGAGGUACGUAGGGGACAUGUUAGCGUGGCUGCACCAAGCCACCGCAUCAGAGAAGGAGCAUCUGGAGGCCCUGCUGAAACAGGUCACAGCACAAGCGCCAGGAGUGGAUGAGACCAUGCAAGAGGUGGUGGGACACAUCACUGAGGGAGUCUGCAGACCUCUUA